rnacentral:rRNA from 1 species
AUUGAACGCUGGCGGCAGGCCUAACACAUGCAAGUCGAGCGAGCGGCGGACGGGUGAGUAAUGUCUGGGAAACUGCCUGAUGGAGGGGGAUAACUACUGGAAACGGUAGCUAAUACCGCAUACCAUCAGAUGUGCCCAGAUGGGAUUAGCUAGUAGGUGGGGUAACGGCUCACCUAGGCGACGAGCCCUAGCUGGUCUGAGAGGAGGACCAGCCAAACAGGAACUGAGACACGGUCCAGACUACUAGGUGGGGCAGCAGGGGGGAAUAUUGCACAAUGGGCGGAAGCCUGAUGCAGCCAGGCCGGGUUGGUGAAGAAGGCCUGCGGGUUGGAAAGCACUUUCAGCGGGGAGGCGUUACCCGCAGAAGAAGCACCGGCUAACUCCGUGCCAGCAGCCGCGUAAUAC